rnacentral:rRNA from 1 species
AAAGAAAUUAAAUAAAUAAAUAGUUUAAAGCAUAAAAUUCGUAAAAAAAAAAAAAACCAACCUUAUUAAUAGAGGAAAUUGUCAUCCAGUCAGAAGUAUUAGGCAACAAUAACUCUGUUGUGAUCUCAUAAGAUGUUGUGGGCACCACGCGUACUACAAUAGAGCAUUCAACUAGCCCAUCUUUGGCCAAGAAAUCCGGUUAAUUUGUGAAACUGCAUCGUGAUGGGGAUAGAGUAUUGCAAUUAUUAGUCUUCAACGAGGAAUGCCUAGUAAGCGCAAGUCAUCAGCUGCUAUUCUGGAAUAUAUUUUUCGGCUUU